GUGCUUACUGCGGGCCGGGAGGCGGGGCGCAGAGGCUGCAAGCAACACACGUGUGGCGGUCGCAAUGAAGUUCGCGUACCGGUUUUCAAAUUUGCUGGGGACAGUCUAUCGGUGUGGAAACUUAAAUUUUACAUGUGAUGGAAAUUCAGUUAUCAGUCCCGUGGGAAACAGAGUCACUGUGUUUGACCUAAAAAACAACAAGUCCGACACUCUGCCCCUGGCCACUCGGUACAACAUCAAGUGUGUGGGGCUGUCCCCGGACGGCCGCCUUGCCAUCAUUGUCGAUGAAGGGGGCGACGCGCUGCUCACCAGCCUGGUCUGCAGGGCCGUGCUGCACCACUUCCACUUCAAGGGCGCUGUGCACAGCGUCUCCUUCUCCCCUGAUGGCAGGAAAUUUGUUGUCACCAAAGGCAACCUUGCUCAGAUGUACCACGCCCCUGGGAGGAAGCGGGAAUUCAACGCGUUUGUUCUGGACAAAACCUACUUCGGGCCGUACGACGAGACCACGUGCAUUGACUGGACAGACGACUCCCGGUGCUUUGCGGUCGGGAGCAAAGACAUGUCCACGUGGGUGUUUGGGGCCGAGCGGUGGGACAACCUCAUCUACUACGCGCUGGGGGGACACAAGGACGCCAUCGUGGGCUGCUUCUUCGAGUCCAGCAGCCUGGACCUGUACACACUCAGCCAGGACGGCGCCCUGUGCGUGUGGCAGUGUGACACCCCCCCUGAGGGCCUGAGGCUGAAAGCCCCCACGGGCUGGAAGGCGGACCUGCUGCAGAGGGAGGACGGGGCGGAGAGGGAGGCCACCGUCCACGGGAAGGCCACGCCGGCUGCCGAGGAGCAGCAGGGGAAAGUGAAGUACUCGCGGGCGGCCAAGUACUUCUUCAAUAAAGAAGGAGAUUUCAACCAUCUGACAGCUGCAGCAUAUCACAAGAAGGUCCACCUCUUGGUCACUGGUUUUGCUUCCGGAAUCUUCCACCUUCACGAGCUCCCCGAGUUCAACCUCAUCCACUCCCUGAGUGUCUCGGAUCAGAGGGUCUCGUCCAUCGCCAUCAAUGGCUCUGGGGACUGGAUCGCCUUCGGGUGCUCAGGCCUGGGCCAGCUGCUGGUGUGGGAGUGGCAGAGCGAGUCCUACGUGCUCAAGCAGCAGGGCCACUUCAAUAGCAUGGUGUCCCUGGCCUACUCCCCCGACGGGCAGUACAUUGUGACCGGCGGGGACGACAGCAAGGUCAAGGUGUGGAACACCCUCAGCGGCUUCUGCUUCAUCACUUUCACGGAGCACUCGAGUGGGGUCACCGGCGUGACCUUCACCACCACUGGCUACGUCGUUGUGACCUCUUCCAUGGACGGGACCGUGCGCGCCUUUGACCUUCACAGGUACCGCAACUUCCGCACCUUCACGUCCCCGCGCCCCACCCAGUUCUCCUGUGUGGCCGUGAACUCGAGCGGGGACAUCGUCUCUGCUGGGGCUCAGGACUCUUUUGAGAUCCUCAUCUGGUCCAUGCAGACGGGCAGGCUCCUCGACGUUUUGUCCGGCCAUGAGGGGCCCAUCAGUGGUCUGUGUUUUAACCCAACGAAGUCGGUCUUGGCCAGCGCCUCCUGGGACAGGACGGUGCGUCUGUGGGACAUGGCGGACAGCUGGAGGACCACAGAGACGCUGGCCCUCACGUCCGAUGCUCUGGCCGUGACCUUUCGCCCUGACGGUGCCGAGCUGGCUGUGGCCACGCUGAACUCGCAGAUCACCUUUUGGGAUCCCGAAAACGCGGUGCAGACGGGCUCCAUCGAGGGCAGGCACGACCUCAAGACGGGCAGGAAGGAGCUGGACAAGAUCACUGCCAAGCACUCAGCCAAGGGGAAGGCCUUCACCGCUCUGUGCUACUCUGCGGACGGCCAGAGCAUCCUGGCGGGAGGGAUGUCCAAGUUUGUGUGCAUCUAUCACGUCAAGGAGCAGAUUCUCAGGAAGAAGUUCGAGAUCUCCUGCAACCUCUCUCUGGACGCCAUGGAGGAAUUUUUGAACCGAAGGAAAAUGACAGAGUUUGGCAACCUGGCGCUCAUCGACCAAGACGCCAUGGAGGAGGGCGGGGUCCCGAUACCGUUGCCGGGCGUAAAGAAGGGUGACAUGAGCUCCCGGCACUUCAAACCUGAGAUCAGGGUGACUUCGCUCCGCUUCUCUCCCACCGGGCGCUGCUGGGCGGCCACCACCACCGAGGGGCUCCUCAUCUACUCCCUGGACGCCCGGAUGCUCUUCGACCCGUUCGAGCUGGACACCAGCGUCACGCCUGUGCAGAUCCGGGCGGCGCUGUGCCAGCGGGACUUCACCAGGGCCAUCCUCAUGGCCUUCCGGCUCAACGAGAGGAAGCUGCUGCAGGAGGCCCUGGAGUCGGUGCCCUGGGACGAGAUUGAGGUCAUCAGCUCCUCCCUGCCUGACUUGUACGUGGAGAAGGCGCUGGAAUUUUUAGCUUCAUCCUUCGAAGAGUCUCGCCAUCUCGAAUUCUACCUCAUAUGGACUCAGAAACUGCUUAUGGCCCACGGACAGAAGCUCAAGUGCAGAGUGGGGACACUGCUGCCGGCAGUUCAGUUCCUUCAGAAGAGCAUCCAGCGCCACUGGGACGACGUCUCCAAACUCUGUGACUGGAACCGCUACAGUCUGCAGUACGCGUUGGCCGUCUCUAAGCAGCGGGGCCUGAAGCGGCCCUCUGAACCGCCGGGCAGCGAGCAGGAAGCAGAUGCACCCGAGGGCGAUGACAACAGCCUGCACCUGCUCAGGAGAGGACCUGGGGAUGGAGACGGGCCGCUGGCCUAGAGCUGGCCGCCUGCAGCCCUGCUGGCUUCGGCUGGGACGUUGGGCAAGGUGGGACCUCCACCGCGGGGGGCAGCCGGGACGGAAGGGCACUGCCGCCAGGACUCGCUCUUCUGCAGGAACCAAACGUGGCCACGGGGUCAGUGCGUGAGCUGACGGGUCCCUGGCAGGCGCGGGCUUGGCACCCAGGGCCCAGGAGCGUCUGCCGUCGAAAGCACCUUGCGGAGAGAGCUCGGACCACCGUUCAUCCACAAGCCAGGACACCCUAGCAAGUGGGAGCCACUGAAAACUAUAACCUUCCAACUUGUAACUAUUCUGUGGAGGAGUCCAAAAUGAGUCAGCAGAGGAAGUGACCCAAACCAAAGAUGGUCUAGCCUUCCAAGGAUACUCCCAACUUGCCUGGAGGGCCUUAGAACACACUGGCUACCAAGAGCCCAUCAAAUGGCAAAAAUGGGUUCAAGCACACCAAAAUAAGAGUUGGUGUAAUAGGCCCCCAACAAAGAGGCCUGCAGCCCACCAGACCCUGCGAGCUGGCCCCACUCUCACGUCACUCACGUGCCACUAACGCACCUUCGGCCCCAGCCCGUUGGCCUCUGCAGAAACACACGUGGAUGACGAUGUGGACGCCAGGAGGAUGUGUUCCUCUGUGGGGCCCAGAGAGCCACAACCUAAAGGAAAUGUCCCCAGCAAAGCCCACUGGGGUCCCGGGAAAAAUAAGAUGGAAUCCAGGGGAUACGGUCCAACCUCUUCUGUGUUUGUUCUAGUUUUACUUGCCUGUAGGGGGCCGUGUGCAGAGGCUUCCCACCUAACAUGUCGGAUUAGCGUUCCCAGUGCAAAGCGGCUCUGCGUGACAGCCAGACUGGGUGAGCCGUGUGCAGAAGUGCUGCACCCGCCUGACCCACAAUGACUCCACCCCUCCCUCUGCCAGAACCCUAUAAAGCAGCACCACCCCUGGGCCUUUCAGGGGAGGCCCUGUGCUGUAGAGCAAGCUCCCAUCUCUCUAUUCUUCGGUCAAAGAAUAAAGCUUUCC